rnacentral:tRNA from 1 species
GCUAAUUAAGUGUUAAUCCUACGCACAUUGACCUUUCACGUCAAAAGAACACCUAGUGUAUUUAGCU